rnacentral:tRNA from 1 species
GUUUAUUAAGUAUAAUCAAGUAUAUUUAACUUCCAAUUAAAAGGACUAAAUAAGUUAGAAUAAACA